AUUGAACGCUGGCGGCAGGCCUAACACAUGCAAGUCGAGCGGAGUGGCGGACGGGUGAGUAAUACCUAGGAAUCUGCCUGGUAGUGGGGGAUAACGUUCGGAAACGGACGCUAAUACCGCAUACUAUCAGAUGAGCCUAGGUCGGAUUAGCUAGUUGGUGAGGUAAUGGCUCACCAGGGCUACGAUCCGUAACUGGUCUGAGAGGAUGAUCAGUCACACGUGAACUGGGACAAGGUCCAGACGCCUACGGGAGGCAGCAGUGGGGAAUAUUGGACAAUGGGCGAAAGCCUGAUCCAUCCAUGCCGCGUGUGUGAAGAAGGUCUUCGGAUUGUAAAGCACGUUAAGUUGGGAGGCGUUAGCGACAGAAUAAGCACCGGCUAACUCAGAGACAGCAGCCGCGGUAAUAC
rnacentral:rRNA from 1 species